GACCGGCGAAUGGGUGAGUAACACGUAUGCAAUCUACCUUUUGCUGGGGGAUAGCCAGAAGAAAUUAUGAUUAAUACCCCAUAAUAUAAAAGUUCUGCAUGGACCUUUUAUUAAAACUACGGUGGCAAAAGAUGAGCCUGCGUCUGAUAGUUAGUUGGUAUGGUAACGGCAUUACCAAGACUGUAAUCAGUAGGGGGCCUGAGAGGGUGUACCUCCACACUGGAACUGAGACACGGACCAGACUUCUACGGAAGGCAGCAGUGAGGAAUAUUGGUCAAUGGAGGAAACUCUGAACCAGCUAUACCGCGUGUAGGAAUGAAAGCCUUUUCGGUUGUAAACUACUUUUAUAUAUAAAUAAAAUUUACUACGAGAUAGUAAACUGAAGGUACUAUAUGAAAAAGUGUCAGCUAAUUCUGUGCCAGCAGCUGCGGUAAUACAGAAGACACAAGCGUUAUCCGGAUUUAUUGGGUUUAAAGGGUGUGUAGGCUGUUUAUUAAGUCAGGAGUGAAAGAUUACAGCUUAACUGUAAAAUUGCUAUUGAUACUGGUAGACUAGAAUAAGAUUGGAGCAUCUGGAAUGUAUGGUGUAGCGGUGAAAUGCGUAGAUAUCAUACAGAACACCAAUAGCGAAGGCAGGAUACUAAAUCUUUAUUGACGCUGAGACACGAAAGCGUAGGGAGCAAACAGGAUUAGAUACCCUGGUAGUCUACGCCCUAAACGAUGAUCACUAGCUAUUGGAAAAACUAUAUUCAGUGGCUAAGCGAAAGCGAUAAGUGAUCCACCUGGGGAGUAUAAUCGCAAGAUUGAAACUCAAAGGAAUUGACGGGGUUCUGCACAAGCGGUGGAGCAUGUGGUUUAAUUCGAUGAUACGCGAGAAACCUUACCAAGGCUUAAAUGUAUUACGAAUAAGCUAGAAAUAGCUUAGUCCGCAAGACGGAAUGCAAGGUGCUGCAUGGUUGUCUUCAGUUCGUGCUGUGAAGUGUUUGGUUAAGUCCUAUAACGAGCGCAACCCCUAUUGUUAGUUGCCAUCAGAUAAUGCUGGGGACUCUAACAAAACUGCCAGUGCAAACUGUGAGGAAGGUGGGGAUAA
rnacentral:rRNA from 1 species